GCCCAAAUGGUGGAAUUGGUAGACACGCUAGUUUCAGGGACUAGUGGUCGUAAGGCUGUAGGGGUUCGAGUCCCCUUUUGGGUA
rnacentral:tRNA from 1 species